rnacentral:rRNA from 1 species
GAGUACGGCCGCAAGGCUGAAACUUAAAGGAAUUGGCGGGGGAGCACUACAACGGGUGGAGCCUGCGGUUUAAUUGGACUCAACGCCGGAAAACUCACCGGGGGCGACAGCAAUAUGUAGGUCGGGUUAAAGGUCUUACCUGAAUCGCUGAGAGGAGGUGCAUGGCCGUCGUCAGUUCGUACUGUGAAGCAUCCUGUUAAGUCAGGCAACGAGCAAGACCCGUGCCCACUGUUACCAGCAUAUCCUUUAUGGAUGAUGGGGACUCUGUGGGGACCGCUGCUGCUAAAGCAGAGGAAGGUGCGGGCUACGGUAGGUCAGUAUGCCCCGAAUCUCCCGGGCUACACGCGGGCUACAAUGGUUGGGACAAUGGGUAUCUACUCCGAAAGGAGUUGGCAAUCUCUUAAACCCAAUCGUAGUUCGAAUUGAGGGCUGUAACUCGCCCUCAUGAAGCUGGAAUCCGUAGUAAUCGCGUUUCAACAUAGCGCGGUGAAUCUGUCCCUGCUCCUUGCACACACCGCCCGUCAAACCAUCCGAGUGAGGUAUGGGUGAGGGCACGAACUUAGUGUCGUGCUCGAACCUAAAUUUCGCAAGGAGGGUUAAGUCGUAACAAGGUAGCCGUAGGGGAAUCUGCGGCUGGAUCACCUCCU